rnacentral:rRNA from 1 species
UGGGGAAUAUUGCACAAUGGGCGCAAGCCUGAUGCAGCCAUGCCGCGUGUAUGAAGAAGGCCUUCGGGUUGUAAAGUACUUUCAGCGAGGAGGAAGGCGUUGUGGUUAAUAACCGCAACGAUUGACGUUACUCGCAGAAGAAGCACCGGCUAACUCCGUGCCAGCAGCCGCGGUAAUACGGAGGGUGCAAGCGUUAAUCGGAAUUACUGGGCGUAAAGCGCACGCAGGCGGUCUGUCAAGUCGGAUGUGAAAUCCCCGGGCUCAACCUGGGAACUGCAUCCGAAACUGGCAGGCUAGAGUCUUGUAGAGGGGGGUAGAAUUCCAGGUGUAGCGGUGAAAUGCGUAGAGAUCUGGAGGAAUACCGGUGGCGAAGGCGGCCCCCUGGACAAAGACUGACGCUCAGGUGCGAUAGCGUGGGGAGCAAACA